UACGUAGGGGGCAAGCGUUGUCCGGAAUCAUUGGGCGUAAAGAGCGUGUAGGCGGCCCGGCAAGUCGGUUGUGAAAGCCCAGGGCUCAACCCUGGGAUGCCGACCGAUACUGUCGGACUAGAGUUCGGAAGAGGCGAGUGGAAUUCCUGGUGUAGCGGUGAAAUGCGCAGAUAUCAGGAAGAACACCAACGGCGAAGGCAGCUCGCUGGGACGGUACUGACACUGAGGGACGAAAGCUAGGGGAGCAAAUAGG
rnacentral:rRNA from 1 species